rnacentral:rRNA from 1 species
ACUCAAAGGAAUUGACGGGGGCCCGCACAAGCAGCGGAGCAUGUGGUUUAAUUCGAAGCAACGCGAAGAACCUUACCUAGACUUGACAUCUCCUGAAUUACCCGUAACUGGGGAAGUUACCUCUUUGAGGUGACAGGAAGACAGGUGGUGCAUGGUUGUCGUCAGCUCGUGUCGUGAGAUGUUGGGUUAAGUCCCGCAACGAGCGCAACCCUUAUUGUUAGUUGCUACCAUUUAGUUGAGCACUCUAGCAAGACUGCCUGGGUUAACCAGGAGGAAGGUGGGGAUGACGUCAAAUCAUCAUGCCCCUUAUGUCUAGGGCUACACACGUGCUACAAUGGCGAGUACAACGAGACGCAAGACCGUGAGGUGGAGCAAAUCUAUAAAACUCGUCCCAGUUCGGAUUGUAGGCUGAAACUCGCCUACAUGAAGUUGGAGUUGCUAGUAAUCGCGAAUCAGCAUGUCGCGGUGAAUACGUUCCCGGGCCUUGUACACACCGCCCGU